rnacentral:rRNA from 1 species
UACGGGGGGGGCAAGCGUUGUUCGGAAUUACUGGGCGUAAAGGGCUCGUAGGCGGCCAACUAAGUCAGACGUGAAAUCCCUCGGCUUAACCAAGGAAGUGCACCCGAAACUGGAUAGCUUGAGUACAGAAGAGGAUCGCGGAAUUCCCGGUGUAGCGGUGAAAUGCGCAGAUAUCGGGAGGAACACCGGUGGCGAAGGCGGUUCUCUAGGCCUGACCUGACGCUGAGGAGCGAAAGCGUGGGGAGCAAACAGG